CAUGCGUAAACAUAUAUACAUAAUAAAAUAAAUGGUUUUUAGUUGCAUAAAUAUGUAUAAAUGAUAGAAUGAUUGAUUUUACAUUAAAAAAUAUGCAAAUUUUUGUAAUAUUGUGUAAAACCGUUUAGACCGUUUUAAUCCGUUUAAACACCGUCUAAACAGUUUAAACGCUAAACGAAGGGUUACCGACUGUUUACCGUUUAGCGUUUAGGAUAACAUUGGGUGUGGAAAGAGAAGAUGACCAUACAUGAAGAGGAGGCGCCGCCGGAAGUACCGACUCCGCCAUCCAAUGAAUCCCAGGACAAUUGAGAAAACGGAGAGUCCCGUUCGGAGGACUUAAAAACACCGAACGCCUUGCCAAGAGGUAAACUUGGUAGUUAUCCUUUCCCUUUCAAUUAUUUCAAACAGUUUACAUAGUUAAUCAUGUCCAUACUAUCCUAAAAAGAAAAUAAAAAUGUGAAAAACAGUAAGCCCCAUGUGAGUAUACGAGUGGCAUAAAACCCAUAAGUACAUUCACUGUGGUGGCAUAAAAGUAAAAUAAAUAUUUUUCUGCUCUAUAAAAAUGAAAAUAUAAAAAUAGAGAGUAAUAAUUAUUAAGGAGUCUCAACAUGAUAAAGGCUAGAUAUUUAUGCUAACACUUAAUCAGUUCCACAAAGCUUUGUUGCCUAUUUGAGCUCCACAUAAUUUAAGAAUCAAGAAGACUAUCAGACGGAGGACUUUCUAAUCGCUGUCAGAAUGCUGCUGACUUUCAAAUACACCUCUGCCACCUGCUAGCUACAUCAAGAGAAAUUACGUCAAAAUUCAGCUUGGGGGAGAGCACCCCCAUUUAUCCCGAUAAGUAUUUCUAUCUAUCGUUAUACUUAUACUAUAUUAAAAUAUAGAUAUACAUAAUUAUGGAAAACCAAAUAAAGAUUUUAUGCUUAUAUAUAUGUCUUUUGCUUAAUGUGUUUAAUAAAUAAAUAAAGUGGCUAUGCUAAUCUGUAUCUAAAUAAAACUCUAGCAUGGAUAUGAUGAAUAGUUGCUCUGCCUGAUUUGCAAUUUUUAAGUUCUCUCUCAAGUUUAGAUAUAACUGUUAUAAUUUAAAGCUUGCUCUAGACCUAAACUUAUGGGAUGAAAACUUGAUCUGAAGUCUAAGUUGUUAACGGAUACGAUAUGGGAAGGUUGAGCUGCUGUUUAUCUGUUCCUAGAGAUGCUAGAAUUCUGGAGAAUUUUAUCUUUGAAAAACUUUAAAAUAUUGCAUGAUGUGUUCCUAUAUGAUGAGAGUUUAAAUUCCUACCACAGCCAUAUAUACAUGCUUGCUAGACUUUGAGCCACACAUUUACUAUUUACUGCUUAUGAGUAUUGAGUGUGGUCAAGCUGUGUAGACCCCUAGGAGCUUGUCAUGUGGUUAAAUCAAGAUUCACUGCACGUUCACUCAUACAUGCUACUUCUACUCCGGAAGUACCAUCCACAUAUAUCCACUCAUUUCCAUCUCCAUAACCACCCAAAAAUAUUCUACUCCUAAUCCGGGAGAGAAUAGCCAAAAACAUUUCUAUUUUUCCCUUGUGAAAUCAAUGCUCAAGUUAUCUUGUUACUACCACUUGCUAUAUUAUCUCAAGAGAUGAGUCUCUAAAAAAAGAAAAAAAAAAGUAUAUGAGGAAAUAAAAAGGGGCAAGUGCCCGGAACCUCGAAAGAAAAGAAAAAGUGAGACGAGAGGUAAAAAUGGACAAGUGUCCGACAGUAGAAUUAGGGGUACAAGAUACCCACCUGAGAGAAAAGAAAAAGAAUAGCAUCUCAUUCUCCUCAUAAAGUUUCAGAAAGCAAGGAAGGUAUGUAUCCCCUCAAAAGAGCAAAAGUAGAAUUAGACUUUCACCAUUGUUAUCACCAUCAUCACCAUAUACCAUUCAUUCGCCACACAUGCACAUCUUGAUUUGAAUUAUUGAUUUGUUUCUUUGGAUCCAUGGUUUGACUAUACAAUAAAUGUCUUGUAAGUAUGUAUAUUGUAUCUCCCACCUAUGAGCUCCAGAUAUUAAAGCCUUAUUAGAGUAGGGUGAGAGAGAGAAGGCAAUGAGAGAAGGCAUAUACCAUCACUGCCUUGGUAAGGAUCCAGAAAUACCACAAAAGAGAGAUUUGAGUUAGUCAUACAAGGAAUCUCUGAGUUUUAUUUGAAAAUCUACAAAAACUCCAGAGCUAUAGCUAAUCAAGAAUAAGAGACAUGGCACUUAGACUGUUCUAUCUUUUAACUACUCAAGACAGAAGUGACGGUUACAAGUCCCAUGGUGAAAGGUAAAGUAAGUAAGUUUUAAGUCUUGACAGUUUACUCUAACUCAGAGAUGAGACUUUAUUUAAAAAGCAUGUGUACCAUCAAUUUUUAAAGAUAUUGCAGCAACUUCUGAUCCAUUACUGAGUCUAUCCUUGCUCAGGGACGAGCAAGAGGUAAGCUUGGGGGAGUUUGUUGACGGUCCUUAAGUAUCAAAUUUAAUUAUCAAAUAAACGAAGAAAAGGAUCCAAAUGAAAUCAACAUCUAGACUUAGGGUUUUAUCUGAUAGAAUUCCACGAGUUUUGGUGUUUGUCUAUUUCUGCAGGGGGUUAUCAGGAAAUACGGAAGAAAGGCCCACACGUCGGGAUUACAUAGAGAUAUUAACGUGCCGCGCAAUUAUCUUACAUCUAGAAGACUCCAGAAGCCACGGGAAGGAAGCGGAGGCUGAACGGGGCCAGGCACUGGGCGCCCGCCCACCUCUGGAGUCCAAACAGGACUCUCUUUCGGGAAAGAUCUCCACCGACCUAAAGGAUCAAUGAUAACCGUUCAAUCAACGUCGGUUUGAUCCAACGGCCCAUAUUCACUUGAAGGGACUAUAAAACCGGACCCCCUGGCCCCUGGAGGAGAGAGCCUCUAAACCCUAAUUCAUUAUUCUCAAGGAAGAAGAAGCCCCUGAUCAAGAUUAGAGCCACCACAUCAAUUAGACAUCUAGAUUAGCAUAGCUACAUAGGAUUAGAACUAGAAGGAGUCAAUCUUCGAUUGGUUUCCGGAUCUAUCAAGAGGAUUCUUGGUAAUUCUCUAAUUGUGCUUCUAAUUGUUCUUCUAAUCAUCUAUGUUCUUCAAUAUUUUGAAUAUGACUUUGUUCUAAUUCAAUAUAUUGCUUAUGACUUUGCCCUACUUGCUUAUAUUCAAGAUUAUAUUGUUCUUAGUUUAUCACAGUUAUGUACUUGGCUUAGUUAGAUUGGAUCUAUAUACAUGCUUAGGAUCGUAUAGCGUUUAUCCAUCGGAUCCAUGGGUAAAUGAUAGAUAUUGUGUAGGCGUGGUGCUUAUACCAUAUUUAUCUACGAUUGUACCCAAUAUGCUAGAUCGUGGGGUAGUUCGUGAUAGUGACAGCUUCAUGUAUUCUUAUAUAGUCCCCCUCUCGUGUAUUGGGCUGGCAGAGCAACAUUAUUACAGGGGAGUGAUUGCUAUGUUUCUCAUUUACCUUGCUAAUAUCACUAUGCAUGGGCGU
rnacentral:lncRNA from 1 species